rnacentral:miRNA from 1 species
ACACUGACAAUUUCAAUACAAUAGCGUAUAUAUAUAUAUAUAUAUAUACGCUAUUGUAUUGAAAUUGUCAGUGUU